UACGGAGGAUCCAAGCGUUAUCCGGAAUUACUGGGCGUAAAGAGUUGCGUAGGCGGCAUGGUAAGCGAGUAGUCAAAGCGUCCGGCUCAACCGGGUAUACAUUACUCGAACUGCCAAGCUUGAGAAUGAGAGAGGUAGUUGGAAUUCCUAGUGUAGGGGUAAUAUCCGUUGAUAUUAGGAGGAACACCGAUGGCGUAAGCAGACUACUGGCUCAUUUCUGACGCUCAGGCACGAAAGCGUGGGGAGCAAACGGG
rnacentral:rRNA from 1 species